GACGAACGCUGGCGGCGUGCUUAACACAUGCAAGUCGAACGGACAGACCCUGCUUUUGCGGGGUUCUCGAUUGGCGAGCGGGUGUGUGUCACGUGUGUAUCCUGCCCUUAACUUUGGGGUAUAAUCACGAAACACCGGCUAUUAUACGAUAGGAUAUCCUGCUGCGUGUUGGUGAUUGGAAAAAUACGGUUUUGCGGUCGGUUAUAGAUGGUUCCGCGCCUCAUUAGCUGGUUGGGAGGUUAGUGGCUUACCAAGGCUACGAUGGGUAGCCGACCUGAGAGGGUGACCGGCCACAAUGGGACUGAGAGACGGAGCAGACGCCUACGGGAGGCAGCAGGGGGGAAUAUGGCACAAUGGGCGGAAGCCUGAGACAGCAACGCCGGGUGCGGGAUGACGGGUUACUGGUUGUAAACAGCUGUCGCCGGAGACGAAGCGUUAGUGACGGUAAUGGGUAAAGAAGCACCGGCUAACUACGUG
rnacentral:rRNA from 1 species